rnacentral:rRNA from 1 species
CGUAAACANAGGGAGGCGAGAGUGCGAGCUUAAGCGAACCCCAAAAAUAACGUCCCAGUUCGGAUUGCAGCCUGCAACUCGGCUGCAUGAAGCUGGAAUCGCUAGUAAUCGCGGAUCAGAAUGCCGCGGUGAAUACGUUCCCGGGUCUUGUACACACCGCCCGUCACACCAUGGGAGUCGGGAACGCCCGAAGCCGGUGGCCGAACCCGAGAGGGGAGGAGCCGUCGAAGGCGGGCCUGGUAACUGGGGUGAAGUCGUAACAAGGUAAC